UUCUAGUCCUGGAUGGUUGUCAACCAAAACAAACUCCUGUUGGUGUCUGCCCUAACAAUCUUUUUCUUAAUCUAUUUGUGUUUAGAAAUUUACAAACAGGGAAUAAAGUUCCAGCCAUUCAGUGAUCACCUCACUCUUCUAACUGAUGACUUUCUGAAGUCAGUUUUGAUCGAGCAAUAAUUACUUUGCUGUAGACUACAGUUUAACUGCACCUGAUCCAAGGAAAUCCUCCACUAACUUGAAUGGCAGCCAUGACAUCCAGACCUUGGGGAAAGAGGAAGACAAUCCCACACCACGAACGUGAUGGAAUAACAAUGGCAAAUCGAACUUACAUUGCAGCUUAAACAAGAGUGGAGACAAAGCAUUCUAUUAAUGUGCAAUAUUGCGGCCCUGUGGACGACCAAUUCCAGGCCGGUUUUGCCACGAGAUUUGGAACACCAGGAUUUCGCUGAGGCAGAUGUAUGGACGGAGGUCUCUGUUGUUGAAUGGUUGCAUCCUCUCUCUCUUCCUCUGAUGAUGGUGGGAGAGUUUGCUGCUGAUUCUCCUGUAGGAGAAUCCCGGUAUAAGAAGCGACGUGGCAGACUGUGACAUUGUAACAGCGACUCUCGUUCUCCUCCUUCGCUGUGAAAAUGGGAGAUGCCGCUCUGUCCUUUGUUAGUGGGGCAUGGUGAACUAUCGGGUAAACAAUCAUUUUUGUUGAUUGCAGAUCAUGGUCUCUCUUUGGGUGCUUUGCUGUUGUUUGGCGGGUGGUGUAUCCUGAUGCUUUUUGCUGAAAUGGGUGGGGGAAGGCCGAUGC